GUUGCUUAUAAAUUGGAUGCCUCCACGCGGCAAGCAACGGACAACAUUACGCCACACCGUAAUGGCAAAAUCCAAA
rnacentral:ribozyme from 1 species